AUCAACAACAGAAUAGAAUUUCUUCCAUUUUUGAUAAAAAAGACAGUCUACUUUUGUUCAUCACAGAUUAGCCAGACAGCAGCGAAUCAGAACUGAUGUCUUUACUGCUGAUGUCUGACCACCAGCCCGUGUCUUAGCACAUGGAAUCCUGACCACAGUGUGUUUGGGUAUUUCUUCCAUUGCCCUAAUGCUGACCUUCUAGUUCUCCACGAGAUCAUGAUCCACACAUGACCCACCAAGCUCACCAGGAAACUAGGGGAUUGAGUCAAAACCAGUUAGUAGUAGAAUGGGACUGUCUGCCUAUGGCCUCUGUGUGG